CCUAACACAUGCAAGUCGAACGGGAACCGGAGCAUACUUGCUUUUUGGCUGAGUGCUGGGGGAAGGGUGAAUAGUGUCUGGAAAACUGCCUGAUGGAGGGGGAUAACUACUGAAAACGGUAGCUAAUACCGCAUAAUGCCGCAAGACCUCACAGGGGGACCUUCUGGCCUCUUGCCAUCUGAUGUGCCCAGAUGGGAUUAUGUAGUAGGUGGGGUAACGGCUCACCUAGGCGACCAUCCCUGCCUGGACUGAUAGGAGGACCGACCACACUGGAACUGACACACGGUCCGAACUCCUACGGGAAGCCCCACUGGGGAAUAUUGCACAAUGGACUCAAGCCUGAUGCAGCCCUGCCGCGUGUAUGACGAAGGCCUUCGGGUUGUAAAGUACUUUCAGCGGUCAGGAAGGGAGUAAAGUUAAUACCUUUGCUCAUUGACGUUACCCGCAGAAGAAGCACCGGCUAACUCCGUGCCAACACCCGCGGUAAUACGCGAGGGUGCAAGCGUUAAUCGCGAAUUACUGGCCGUAAAGCGCACGCAAGCGGUUUGUUAAGUCUUAUGUGAAAUCCCCGGGCUCAACCUGGGAACUGCAUCUGAUACUGGAAUGCUUGAGUCUCGUAAAUCGCGGUAGUAUUCCAGGUGUAGCGGUGAAAUGCGUAGAGAUCUGGAGGAAUACGCGGUGGU
rnacentral:rRNA from 1 species